AGUGAACGCUGGCGGUAAGCCUAACACAUGCAAGUCGAACGGCAGCACAGUAAGAGCUUGCUCUUACGGGUGGCGAGUGGCGGACGGGUGAGGAAUACAUCGGAAUCUACUUUUUCGUGGGGGGUAACGUAGGGAAACUUACGCUAAUACCGCAUACGACCUACGGGUGAAAGCAGGGGAUCUUCGGACCUUGCGCGAUUGAAUGAGCCGAUGUCGGAUUAGCUAGUUGGCGGGGUAAAGGCCCACCAAGGCGACGAUCCGUAGCUGGUCUGAGAGGAUGAUCAGCCACACUGGAACUGAGACACGGUCCAGACUCCUACGGGAGGCAGCAGUGGGGAAUAUUGGACAAUGGGCGCAAGCCUGAUCCAGCCAUACCGCGUGGGUGAAGAAGGCCUUCGGGUUGUAAAGCCCUUUUGUUGGGAAAGAAAAGCAGCAGGUUAAUACCCCGCUGUUCUGACGGUACCCAAAGAAUAAGCACCGGCUAACUUCGUG
rnacentral:rRNA from 1 species